AAGUCAUUGGACAUCAUAGGAAACGUUUGGAUAAAAAAAUGGAUAGACUCUGGAAGAGCUUGCUGCACUGUCCUUGUAGGCAAAGAAAAACUGUUCCAUCAGUGCCUGUUCCUCCUCUCUUUGUAAUUCAGAUAGCAGAUGUACUGACCAAGUAUACCUUGAAACUGGAAGAAAUUUCUUUCUUCUUGGCAGCUGAUGUUCACAAGCUCAUUAACAAUAAGGCCAUGCACCUUGUUGCCUCCAAAACAUACACAAUCUGACAUAAUAAAUGAAUGGUACAGAACUCUGGAGAAUUUAAACAGGAGUAUUGACACACCUAAUGUGGAGUGCAUGGAGAAAAUGCGCAUCCAGUAUGAGCUGGUCCAGGACAAAUGUCAGGAAAAAGUGCAGGUCUGCAAGGUGAGUGUCAGCUUUGGGUGUGGAAGUGAU